rnacentral:rRNA from 1 species
AUACGUAGGGUGCAAGCGUUAAUCGGAAUUACUGGGCGUAAAGCGUGCGCAGGCGGUUUUGUAAGACUUAGGUGAAAUCCCCGGGCUCAACCUGGGAACUGCCUUUGUGACUGCAAGGCUAGAGUACGGCAGAGGGGGAUGGAAUUCCGCGUGUAGCAGUGAAAUGCGUAGAGAUGCGGAGGAACACCGAUGGCGAAGGCAAUCCCCUGAGCCUGUUCAGACGCUAAGGCACAAAAGCGUGGGGAGCAAACGGUAUUAGAUACCCUGGUAGUCCACGCCCUAAACGAUGUCAACUGGUUUGGGGGUCUUCAUUGACUCAGUAACGAAGCUAACGCAUGAAGUUGACCGCCUGGGGAGUACGGCCGCAAGAUUAAAACUCAAAGGAAUUGACGGGG